rnacentral:rRNA from 1 species
UACCAGCACCCCGAGUGGUCGGGACGAUUAUUGGGCCUAAAGCAUCCGUAGCCGGUUUUCCAAGUCCUCCGUUAAAUCCAGCUGCUUAACAGAUGGGCUGCGGAGGAUACUAUAAGACUAGGAGGCAGGAGAGGCAAGCGGUACUCAGUGGGUAGGGGUAAAAUCCGUUGAUCCAUUGAAGACCACCAGUGGCGAAGGCGGCUUGCCAGAAUGCGCUCGACGGUGAGGGAUGAAAGCUGGGGGAGCAAACCGG